rnacentral:rRNA from 1 species
CACCGCGGUUAUACGAGAGGCCCAAGUUGACAAAUGCCGGCGUAAAAUGUGGUUAUUACAGUAUUUCACUAAAGCCAAACAUCUUCAAAGCUGUUAUAUGCUCUCGAAGACAGGAAGUUCAUUCACGAAAGUGGCUUUAACCUCUAUGUACCACGAAAGCUAGGGAA